rnacentral:rRNA from 1 species
UUGCAAACACUUCUCGAAUACUUGAAAAAUAAGCAGAGAAAGGAUCAACAUUUUUUUUAUGCCAUUCAAGUCGAUGAGAAAGAUGGUCGGAUUGCUAAUUUGUUUUGGGCAGAUGGCCAGUCUAUCAUGGAUUACGCAUGUUUUGGAGAUGCUGUAUCAUUUGACACUACGUUUCAAACUAAUAAGUUUGAAAUGCCUUUUGCUCCAAUCCUGGGAACCAACCAUCACAAGCAGACUAUAAUUUUCGGGGCAGCGUUGUUAUUUAAUGAGACCAUUGAGUCAUUUGUUUGGUUGUUUGAAACCUUUCUGACAGCAAUGUCAGGUAAGCAUCCAAGCACAAUUUUCACUGAUCAGGAUGCGGCCAUGGCAGGAGCAGUUGCAUAUGUGUUUCGAAAUACAAGUCAUCGACAUUGUCUAUGGCACAUUUAUCUUAAUGCCGCUAAACAUCUCGGACAUGUAAUUCAUAAGCAUCCUGAGAAGUUUCUACCUGAUUUUAAGAGAUGUGUCUAUGAAGAUAGAUCAGAGUAUAAGUUCAACAAGAAGUGGCAUGAAUUGUUGGAUCAGUACAACCUCCAGGACAACGAAGAAAGAAAGGUGCAAAGAGUAAACGGUCAAAAAUCUCCUUCGAGAAGAAGAAAGGGAAGAAAAAGAAUAGUACUAAAAAGAAAGGUACUGAUCCUACAUAUUCUAGCAAGCCUUUUCUAUUAUAUACUUCUAUAG